AGAAGAAUUUGUGGAGUCUUAUAAAGAGUCCCAAUUGUAAUCUAAGGUGAGAUAUAAAAAUAGUUUUUGCCCUAUCUAUUUACUUACUAUUCAUUUUCAAUGGAUGAUUGAUUUGGUUGUUAUGCCAAUAGGACUUUAGAACAUAAAGUAUUUGGAUUGGUAAAAGAGAAAUUCUCCAAUUAUGUAAAAAGAAGGGCAUUGAGAUCAAAGUCUAUAGAAGUGGUGAGUUGAUUUUUUUUGGAAGAUAUUACCAUUAAUGUCUUCAUAAUUUUUUUCAAACAAUAUAUUUAUAUACCAUUAAAAGUCAUUCCUACCACCAAUAGAAUCACCAAAUAAUGAGAUUCUCUUCU
rnacentral:lncRNA from 1 species